AAUAACGUUAUGUUUUGGUUGAACAGACAUUGUUCUUCGAUUACUAAUAUUCAACCUUACUGUGUUACCUUUUCAAUGUUUAACUUACACGCUGAUAUAUAUAUUUCAUCGUACGUGACGUUAAAUAAGAAGUGAAAUGACACGGAUUCUGAACGAAGGUGUAACCAUUCAAUAUCAAGAUUUUUUUAAAACAUCAAAAAUAAUUAAACGUGAUAAUAUGUUUUAUGUUUUUUUGUAUUAUAACAUGCAUGUUCUUCGCAUGCAAUUAUCCAAACGUAUCCUGGUGUGCUUUUUGAAACGUCACAUUGUUGUAUAAAAAGGCUCAUAAGUGCGCCGCAUUUCUAAAAUAGUUAUGCCCUAAAUACCGUAUAACGUACGGCAUAUAAAUAGAACAUAACAUGUAGCUGCCCUAUCGUUUGUUAUAUAUCAGAUGCGGCUCCGAAUAGACACGGCUUUUAUGGUCGAACAUGUUAGAUGGCUUAACGAUAGGACAGAAACCUGUUUUCUGUUAAUCAUAAAUAAAAUCACCAAAUUAAAGAAAACCAAUCAAUAAUUAAAUAAAAAUCGUUACUUAUCUUCAUUUUCAACGGGUAAAAUGAAUAUGUUACAUGAUGCGUAAUAUGGCACCAUACGUUCGUGUCUUUAUUUGUUGAUGUAAUUAAUAUUUUGCUCUUUCAAAGUCACCACAAAACACUAAUAUAUUAACGUGUAAAUGUUGAUGAAUAAUACAUAAAAUGAAAGUGACAUGUUUUAUGUUAUAUAAAUGUAUAAUACCCACGCUGAUAUUGGCGUGACACCAAUGUGUCUGAUCUUACAACCUUUCGCUGAUGACAUUAACCUCGUGAGUGGCGCCAGCAGUGAACCCAAAGACUUCACCAACAGACGCUAUGAAAUAGCAAACUAUACGGGAUGGAGGUAAAACAGAAGAUAAUGGAAAACUACAGAUUUACUUUUGUACAUAGUCCUUUAAAUGUCUGAAAGAAAUUCUAAUCCAUAACACAACUCACCAUUACGUAGAAAAAUUAAAAGUUAGAGAACUAACCUUAGAUGAAACAACCGGCAAAUAAGGUUAUCGGACAAAAAAUAUAUGCUGAUAUUACUCCACAAAACAUAGAUGAACAACAUCAGAAACUCACCAAUCUGAACGCUUCGGACAGUGGGCUACACCAAACCGUCUCUCUGAUGUCAAUCUCUUGCACGAAGGUUACAUUACAUUCACCUCUGUGUUGGGCUCAGAACGGACUAUUGUUAUGAAAGCGUCUCAGUAUACUAAACAAUCUCUUGCACGACGGUUACAUUGCAUUCACUGCAUUAAAGAAAACCAUCUCAUACCAUGAUAUCUUAUAUCAGUCUUAAUUCAUUAUUAUAAAAUUGAUAUGGUUUCUUGAUGUUAAGAAACCAACAUACAUACACACGUCGAAGCAAUUCCGAACGUCACUCAAUAAACAUUAUGUUCAAUUGUUGACAUUUGUAAAGUGCGUGAAAUGAUUCCAUCUGCGUAAAUGGGCAAUAAAAUAGUUCCAAAGAGUUGCAUUAAAACUCGCAAGUUUUUGCACGAUUUAUCGUACAUUUAAAGGUCAUAUUUCUUAAUUUAAUGCAUGCGAUCUUAAAUAUCCAAUCAAAUAUACUUUGAAUGCGUUUGUUCGGUUUUAGCUAUUUUAUAGACAAAAUGGCGUGCUGAGCCUUUCGCAGAGUUGUAUGUGAGAGCAAGGAACGACAACUCUUCGUGGAGAUUGCUCUGAUGUACGAAGGCGGCCGUCAUAUUGGAUUUGGAACUACUUUUGAAAACAAGAUGGCGGCUCCCUCGGUUCAAACCCGACGUAAAGAAGAAAAAUAAAAAUGUGUUUUGUGUAGCUCGUCUGUUUCAAGAUUACAUUCUAAAAAUAAUAAUGAGUGUAGAUCUGUGAAUUCCCACAACAUAAUUACAAAAUUGUUAAAAUUUAAAGAUGCCAGUAUUGAUAUUGAAUUAAUUUUAAAUC